rnacentral:rRNA from 1 species
UACAGAGGUCUCAAGCGUUGUUCGGAUUCAUUGGGCGUAAAGGGUGCGUAGGUGGCAUGGUAAGUCGGAUGUGAAAUCCCGGGGCUCAACCCCGGAACUGCAUUCGAUACUGCUGCGCUAGAGUACUGGAGAGGAGAUUGGAAUUUACGGUGUAGCAGUGAAAUGCGUAGAUAUCGUAAGGAAGACCAGUGGCGAAGGCGGAUCUCUGGACAGUUACUGACACUGAGGCACGAAGGCCCAGGGGAGCAAACGGG